rnacentral:rRNA from 1 species
AGAGUUUGAUCAUGGCUCAGAAUGAACGCUGGCGGCGUGCUUAACACAUGCAAGUCGAACGAGAAAGGGAUUGCUUGCAAUCCUGAGUAGAGUGGCGCACGGGUGAGUAACACGUAGAUAAUCUACCUUCGAGCCCGGGAUAACUAUCCGAAAGGAUGGCUAAUACCGGAUGAGGUGUUUUAACACAAGUUAACACAUGAAAGAUUGCCUAUCCAUGGAAGCAAUUGUUUGGAGAUGAGUUUGCGGACCAUUAGUUUGUUGGUGGGGUAAAGGCCUACCAAGACUGCGAUGGUUAGCUGGUCUGAGAGGAUGAUCAGUCACACUGGAACUGGAACACGGUCCAGACUCCUACGGGAGGCAGCAGUGAGGAAUUUUGCGCAAUGGGGGCAACCCUGACGCAGCAACGCCGCGUGAGUGAAGAAGGCCUUUGGGUCGUAAAGCUCUGUCAAUCGGGAAGAAGUUAUUGUAUUCGAAUAGAGUAUAGUAUUGACGGUACCGAUGAAGGAAGCACCGGCUAACUCCGUGCCAGCAGCCGCGGUAAUACGGGGGGUGCAAGCGUUAUUCGGAAUUAUUGGGCGUAAAGGGCGCGUAGGCGGUUUUGUCGGUCAGAUGUGAAAGCCCGGGGCUCAACCCUGGAAGUGCAUUUGAAACAGCAAGACUUGAGUACGGGAGAGGAAAGCGGAAUUCCUGGUGUAGAGGUGAAAUUCGUAGAUAUCAGGAGGAACACCGAUGGCGAAGGCAGCUUUCUGGACCGAUACUGACGCUGAGGCGCGAAGGCGUGGGUAGCGAACAGGAUUAGAUACCCUAGUAGUCC